GAGAGGGAGUUAUAAGAAAGGAGGUGUAGAAUGCUGUCUUAGCCAAGACUUAAGACAAUUGGCACAAAGAUCCCGCCUAGUGGAGGAGAGCUGUGAAAUUGUGGCCUCUACCAAUGCUGAGUUUAGCCUUGAUACCCUCUCCCCUCCCUCCCUCCUUCCCACCCACAGCCUUCUUUUUGCCCUGGGCCUUUUCUCUUUCAUCCUAUUUCCUUGUCUUGGCAUGAAACCUGGGCCCCUGGCUGUCAGUACCUUCAGAGUGUUUGAAACUACCAGCUGAAACCUUUCUCCUAACAAGAUAAGAACCUUCUGCUGGUGCCUUCUGAAAACCCAGAUAGGACUGAGAACUGACCUGUUUAACUCAUCAACUCCUUAUUAGAUACCUGCAGUGAGCCAAGGACCAGGCUAGUUCCUGUGAUGCUGAAGAUGUUGAAGGGAAGCCCAUAACAUUACAACGUUGACCAAUCCUCCAGAAAAGAAGCUCUAACAGAGGACCCUGGCUGUCUACGGGGUUGGGCUGGAGUGCAAUGGCACGAUCUCAGCUCACUGCAACCUCUGCCUCCCGGGUUCAAGCAAUUCUCCUGCCUCAGCCUCCCAAGUAGCUGAGAUUACAGAUGAGAAAACUGAAGCCCAAGAGGGGAGCAAUUUGCCCAAAGGCGCCGAGUGCAUCAGGGAAAAAGCCAAGCUAAAACUGGUCCUGCCUCUUCUUUUUCACAUCCUCCCAGAGGAUCUGCCUCCCAUGAGAGCUGGGAGAGUUUGUAUAUUCCAGACCCUCUAUCUGGGCCUCCCAUCUUGCCAUUAAAAUGAACAAAAGAUCUGGUUUUCCUGGGAAGCCCUAUUUUUUGAACUGUUUCUUACAGGCUAGACUCCAAAGACAAAGGACUUGACAUUAGCCACAAGCAAACUGUGAAGUACAUGAGCUGCUGUGUGAAUUGCCUCCCUUAGGCUGAGCAGGGAGGCUCAUGCCUCUAAUGCCAGCACCUUGGGAGGCCAAGG
rnacentral:lncRNA from 1 species